rnacentral:tRNA from 1 species
GUUGGUGUAUCUCAGUGGUGGAGUGCAUGCUUUGUAUGUAUGAUGUCCUGGGUUCAAUCCCCAGCUGCAAUU